AUGAAAUGUCCCAAAAAAAAAAAGAAAAAAGGAACAGAGCCAGCCCCAACCAAAACCCUCCCAAUUCCUCCAGAAUACAACAACCGGAAGACAGUACAACAGUACAACACUAAAACAGUAGUGAACCAUGAGAGUGAUUCAGAGACUCCAGAUGAGCUCUACUCGCAAGACAUGUUUUUAGGCCCAAAACAAGGUGGGUAGGGAAGCCCAGAGUCUCCAGGGUCUCCAGGGUAUCUUGCGUCCUUCACUAACACCCUUGUGCAGAGCAAUUCACAUACUACGGCAGAGAGAAUGGUGCUUACUGAGCGCAAUACAACACAGGUGGCAAAUGACAACUUUCAGAUGAAAGUUUUAAUGAAAUUGGACCAAAUUAUUGAACAACAGCAACAAAUUCUAAAUUACCAAAAACAAAAUAUGCCACCUGUGAGUGAGUCAGAGGACAUCAUUGACCGUCCCUGCGAGACCCUGGAGGACCUGGAGACAUUGUGCCCACAACUGGGCUGAUGAUGGCAUACAACAGGGCGGUGGCAGCUAACAAUGAUCUCUUCAUAUCUUUCAGACUAUGUACCUGCGCUCACUUGGCGGAGCAAACCUGAAUGCAGCCGUCAGAAGAAUCCCCCGCCGGGUGGGCAAAAAUGACCUCUGUUCAAAUUUUAGUUUUAAAGGGAGGCAGACAGAGAGAACUGUGUGAAGCAAUGAUUGGAGCAUGCCAGAAAUUGCAUAAAGUGAAGGCAAAUGAGGUGGAAGAUGCCAUUGGCCAGAUGCUGAAAUUAGAGCCACACAGACAAUUAAAGUGGUAUGAGUCAUUAAUGAUUUCACCAUAACUGCUCUCUUAAAAUUAUUUUGAUUAAUCCCUA